rnacentral:rRNA from 1 species
CCUACGGGGCGCAGCAGUGGGGGAUAUUGCACAAUGGGGUGAACCCUGAUGCAGCGACGCCGCGUGGGUGAAGGAGUGCUUCGGCAUGUAAAGCCCUAUCGGCAGGGAAGAAGCAAGACGGUACCUGACUAAGAAGCCCCGGCUAACUACGUGCCAGCAGCCGCGGUAAUACGUAGGGGGCGAGCGUUAUCCGGAUUCACUGGGUGUAAAGGGAACGUAGACGGCCAUGCAAGCCAGGGGUGAAAGCCCGGGGCCCAACCCCGGGACUGCCCUUGGAACUGUGCGGCUAGAGUGCGGGAGGGGCAGGCGGAAUUCCUGGUGUAGCGGUGAAAUGCGUAGAUAUCAGGAGGAACACCGGCGGCGAAGGCGGCCUGCUGGACCGCGACUGACGUUGAGGCCCGAAAGCGUGGGGAGCGAACAGGAUUAGAUACACCUGUAGUC